CCUGCCGGAGGCCAUUGCUAUCGGAGUCCGAUUUAGCCAUGCUAGUCGCACGAGUUCAGACUCGUGGCAUAUAGCUCAGUAACACGUGGCCAAACUACCCUACAGACCGCGAUAACCUCGGGAAACUGAGGCCAAUAGCGGAUAUCACUCUCAGACUGGAGUGUCGAGAGUGAGAAACGUUCCGGCGCUGUAGGAUGUGGCUGCGGCCGAUUAGGUAGAUGGUGGGGUAACGGCCCACCAUGCCGAUAAUCGGUACGGGUUGUGAGAGCAAGARCCYGGAGACGGUAUCUGAGACAAGAUACCGGGCCCUACGGGGCGCAGCAGGCGCGAAACCUUUACACUGCACGACAGUGCGAUAGGGGGACUCCGAGUGYGAGGGCAUAUAGCCCUCGCUUUUCUGUACCGUAAGGUGGUACAGGAACAAGGACUGGGCAAGACCGGUGCCAGCCGCCGCGGUAAUACCGGCAGUCCAAGUGAUGGCCGAUAUUAUUGGGCCUAAAGCGUCCGUAGCYKGCYGGACAAGUCCRUUGGGAAAUCGACCCGCUCAACGGGUCGGCGUCCRGCGGAAACUGUCCGGCUUGGGGCCGAAAGACUCGAGGGGUACGUCCGGGGUAGGAGUGAAAUCCUGUAAUCCUGGACGGACCACCAAUGGGGAAACCACCUCGAGAAAACGGACCCGACGGUGAGGGACGAAAGCUAGGGUCUCGAACCGGAUUAGAUACCCGGGUAGUCCUGGCUGUAAACRAUGCUCGCUAGGUGUGYCRYACGCUAYGAGCCUGYGCUGCGCCCUAGGGAAGACGAKAAGCGAGCCGCCUGGGAAGUACGUCUGCAAGGAUGAAACUUAAAGGAAUUGGCGGGGGAGCACCACAACCGGAGGAGCCUGCGGUUUAAUUGGACUCAACGCCGGACAUCUCACCGGUCCCGACAGUAGUAAUGACGGUCAGGUUGACGACUUUACCCGACGCUACUGAGAGGAGGUGCAUGGCCGCCGUCAGCUCGUACCGUGAGGCGUCCUGUUAAGUCAGGCAACGAGCGAGACCCGCACUUCUAGUUGCCAGCAAUACCCUUGAGGUGGUUGGGUACACUAGGAGGACUGCCGCUGCUAAAGCGGAGGAAGGAACGGGCAACGGUAGGUCAGUAUGCCCCGAAUGGAC
rnacentral:rRNA from 3 species